CUCCACGUCACCGCCGCUCCCCGAUAAAAGGGCGGCGGCGGGCUCGGCCCGCCCGCAGCGGGCGCCAUGUUCUCCCUCCAGCCCAGGGCCGUGCUCGGCUUCAACCUCUACUGCGGGGGCUCGCCGGCCUUGGCCCCCGCGGCGCCGCCGCCGCCGCGCCCGGAGCCCUCGGCAGGAGCCGCUUCAGGAGCCGCCUCAGGAACCGCCGCCCCGGCCGGAGCCGCCUCAGGAGCCGCCGCCGCCGCCUCAGCCGAGCGAGCCCCCCCCGCUGCCGCCGCCUGCCCCCCCCGCUCGCUGAUUGGCUGCGGCGCCGCGCCGCGCGCGCUGAUUGGCUGCGGCGCGGCUCUUUGGCGCCCCGAGCAGGAGCUGGACGGCUGCGACCCCGAGGCCGAGAAGGGCCCUCCCGAAGAGGAGGAAGGGGGCAAUUCCCUGCCCGGAACCCCCCCGGGACCCCCCGACCCGCUCCGGCAGGACACGCUGGAGCUCAUCGGCCGCUACCUGCGGGAGGCGGCGGGGGAGGCCUCGCCGGCCGGCGGCAAAAAGCUGUUUCCCGGGCUGCUGGGUGGGCCCGGCCGGCCCGGAUCGGCGGGGGAGGCCGUGAUGGAGAAGGCGCUGGAGACGCUGCGGAGGGUCGGGGAUGGGGUCAUGAGGAAGCACGAACUCGCCUUUCAAGGGAUGCUGCGGAAGCUGGAGCUGCGGCAGGAGCAGGACCUGCAGGCCGUGCUGGAGGUGGCCAACCACGUCUUCAGCGACGGGGUCACCAACUGGGGCCGGGUGGUGACGCUCUUGGCCUUCGGCGCCUUCGUGGCGCGGCAGCUGCGGGGCCCCCAGCGGGAACGGGGGGUCACUGCCCUGGCCCAGAUCCUCACCGACGCCCUCGUGUCAUCCAGGAGGGAAUGGCUGCUCAGCCAGGGAGGAUGGGAGGGCUUUGUGGACUUUUUCCGGGUGGAGGACCUGGAGGGCAGCAUCCGGAAGGUUCUGGUGGCCUUUGCGGGGGUGGCCGGGCUGGGGGCGGGCCUGGCCUACAUGAUCCGCUGAGCCUCGGCUCCCAGGGGCUGCCCCAGCUGCUCAACCCCCUCCCAGAGCUGCCCCCGGCACCAUUCCCGACGGGAAACAGCCCCCAGGGAGGGGGGAGGCGCCGGAACGUUCCGGAAGGUUUGGCCGCUCUUCCUCCCGGAUGAGGACGAGGAUGGUGACGCCGAUGGGAAGCUGCACUCGGAGCCUGGAGGGAUCCACCCGGGAAGCACCGGCGGCUCCCGGGCCUGGACUGAGAGGAGAGAGGCCUUGGAGAGGAGUGGGGGUGAAGGAGCCUU